rnacentral:rRNA from 1 species
UACCAGCACCCCGAGUGGUCGGGACGUUUUAUUGGGCCUAAAGCAUCCGUAGCCGGUUCUACAAGUCUUCCGUUAAAUCCAACUGCUUAACAGGUGGGCUGCGGAAGAUACUAUAGAGCUAGGAGGCGGGAGAGGCAAGCGGUACUCGAUGGGUAGGGGUAAAAAUCCGUUGAUCCAUUGAAGACCACCAGUGGCGAAGGCGGCUUGCCAGAACGCGCUCGACGGUGAGGGAUGAAAGCUGGGGGAGCAAACCGGG